GAAAUGCGAUACGUAAUGCGAAUUGCAGAAUCCAGUGAGUCAUCGAAAUUUUGAACGCACCUUGCGCUUCCGGGUAACCGGGAGCAUGUCUGUUGGAGUGCCUGUUCUCAACCACAACUUUUCUCUCUCUCUCUUUGUAUAGGGAAGUGUGUCUGCUUUGUUUGCUCUCACGAGGAAACACUGCAUUGAGAUGAAAGGCCUUCUCCAAUUAUUCAUCAACCCACCCCCUUGCUGCUCUGCUUCUGCUCAAGGCUUUGUUGUUGAAUGUCGUGAAAGUAAUAUUGAACAACAUUCAAUUCAAAAAAAAGCAACAAACCAUUUGCAAAAAGUAGGCUUUUGGGGGAAAGGGCGAAUAAUGAAACAAACCCAUAUCGGGCCUCCAAUCAGACAAGAAGACCCGCUGAAUUUAA
rnacentral:misc_RNA from 1 species